CUCUUGCUUCCUGCACCCUGGCUCCUGAAGAUGUAAGAAAUAAAGCUUUGCCGCAGAAGAUUCUGGUCUGUGGUGUUCUUCCUGGCCGGUCGUGAGAACGCGUCUAAUAACAACCAGAAGCUGGAAACAACUCAGAUGUUCCACAACAGAAGAAUGGAUACAGAAAAUGUGGUUCCUUACACAACGGAAUACUGCUCAGCUAUUAAGAACAAGUACAUCCUGGAUUUUGCAGGCAAAUGGAUGGAAGUAACUCAGACCCAAAAGAACACAUAUGAUUAUCCUCCAAUGUUUUAAAUCUGUAAAAUAACUGCUGAGGUGCAGUGUGCUAGUUAGAAGCUCUGUUAUUGUCCUCGAUUAUCAUAUUUUAUUAGGAUCUUAUCUUCUACUUGAUUGCUCAGGCAGCAAGGAAUAAUGGACCUUUGGUAUUCCCACUUUGGAGUUAUACACUAUCAACUCUUGACAGUGUUAAAUAUGGGAAAGAAAAGAAUACAGAAUGGAACUAGUGAGUGUUUGGAAUGUAAACUCAUCUGAUCAAACAUUUGUUGAGUUCCAACAGAGUCUGGCACGAGGGAGAAAAGAGUCAUGGGGCUCUGGUGCUCUCUCCUGCUGGGAAACACCUGUGACUGGGACCACUGGCCUGUUUGCCUUAACUGGAAUUUUACAAAGAAGUUUAAGAAUGCCUUUGACUUUUUCCUUUUAAAAGUCUUGUAAUCAGAUCUAUUUGGAGCAGAAGAAAUGCUCACACCACUAUUAUAUUAUUCAACUUAUUUUGUAUGGAAUGCAUGUAUGUUAGAAAAUGGAUGACUGCAUUUUCUCAUUUAAUAAUGCAAGUAUCUAGGAAAUACAAUAUAAGGCUUCAGUGUGAAGAACAAUCUAUAAAAUGUGUGUAUCAUAU
rnacentral:lncRNA from 1 species